AAGUCCCGAAAUGCAGCUGCUACUUUAAUGGCGUAUAUAGAACAUAUUACUUUAUUCCAAGCAGUCAUUAGUAAUUACUAGGAUAAGAGACAUUCCUGCGAGGGGUCUCUUUUAUUAAUUUGAAUAGAAUAGGAGAAAAAUACAUUUUCUACCGUAUCCCUGUAUCGUUUAUCCUUAUGAAAUACCAGACGAAAUAGAACGAUCUUAGAAAGGAUAUAAUGAAAUUCCUUGAUUGUUUCUUACCAGAUAAAUGAUCCCUUUUAUAUUCCACUGAUAGGCUAACAGACAAUUAAUUUUUAAUUAUACCAAACGAAAAUAGAUAUCGAAAUUCUAAAAGAAAUAAAAUUCUAAAUAAAUAAACAGAGAGUUUCUUAUUCGAAACGUCCCGUGAUCUUCAACCAAUUCUGCGCUUGAAUAUAAUUACCAGGAGUAAGCGCAAUAGCUUGUUUCCAAUACUCGGCAGCUUGAUUGAACCAAGCCUCCGCAAUUUCAGAAUCUCCCUGUCGAACGGCCUGUUCCCCCCGGUCGGAAUAGGUGGUUCAAUUCCUUUCCUUAGAACCGUACUUGAGAGUUUCCCGCCUCAUACGGCUCGGCAAUCAAUUCUUUUGGUGUCCCGGGUUUUUGAAUCUAGUAUAUCGAAUUGAAUGAGAUUUCUCAUAGAUCGAUCUUUAUCUUUAUUCUUUUUUUUGGGGGUUAACCAAAAGAGGUUAAUUCCAUGAGCAUGAGUUUCAAACUUGACUUUUGAUUAAAUUAAUAAUCAGCUUUGCUUUCAUUUUAUCUUUUCUCCCACCGUCAGAAGAAUAACAUAGAAGCAUUUCCACUAUAGUUAGAAUUUUCUGAAAGGUAUCUAUCUCGGUUUCAUAUAAAAAUUGAUAUAGAAUCUUUGAAAAAAGCCCUUUCUUCCUAAGAAAGAAAAGGCUUACUGUCUUUGGGAUCUGAUGCUACACCGCUGCUCAAUACCUUAGGGGAUCGACUUUAUUACAUAAGUGGAUUCCUUACUUUUAUCUCAUAUCAUGACAUAAAUAAGCAGUUCUUAUUGGAUCGGCAUCGGCCCAAAACCUCGCGAAUUGAUCUUUACGGUGCUUCCUCUAUCAAUUAGAUCCUUUAUCCAUAGAAUAAACUAUCUAGGCAUAUCGAUUUCUUCAUAUUUCGACUUCUAUGAAGUUUCUUUCUUUGCUACAGCUGAUAAAAAUCGUUUUUGCACGAUGCAUAUGUAGAAAGCCUAUUUUUUUUUUUCGAGUAUUUAUUAGUGUAUUUGCUCUUUACCCCCCCUCCUUUUUUUUUUUCUUUUACUUUUUUCUUUCUAUAGUAGAGAUAGUCGCACGUAAUGACAGAUCACAGCCAUAUUAUUAAAAGCUUGUGGUAAGAACGGAUUUCGUUCUAGUGCCCGAAAAUAAUAUUCUAAAGCUUUUGUAUGUUCUCCGUUACUUGUGUGGAUAAGGCCUAUGUUAUAGAGUAUAUAGCUUCGAUCGUAAGGAUCAAUUUCUAGUCGCAUAGCUUCAUAAUAAUUCUGUAAAGCUUCCGCAUAAUUGCCUUCAGAUUGAGCUGACAUCCGUUACGGUCGUCAUUCGAUUCAAAGAAUUCUCCGUUUCAAAAACCGUACAUGAGAUGAAAAUCUCAUACGGCUCCUCCUUUAUGUGCAUUAUGAGAAUAAUCCAUGAAAUCAAAAAAGAUUGAAAUAUUCUCAUUAUGAACUAAGUGGGGCUAAUGUUUUUACAAGAAAUCUCUAGCCAACCUUCCUGCAAAAGCUUUUUUCUUAAUAUCACGCGUGUUGGUACUAGAUAAAACCGGAAACUCCAACAAUUUCUUUGUUCUCAACGCCCCUUAAUUUACAGGAAUUAAUCACUUCAACAGUCUUCGAUGGUUAUACGGGUAUCCACAGUACGAACGAGAUGGAUGUUUGUUAUCCCAACCAUUCUUCUUAGUCCCGAUCCCGCUAAGGAAAGGGGCAGCUUAUAACAAAGUUUUCGUGUUGCUGAUUCCUAGACGUAGCGCCUCUUCCCCUAUGCCGCCUAUUGGUACUGGGUGUAGUAGGGUUGACUUGCAAUACAGAACCCAUAGGUGUAACCUUUCGCUCAAUACUAGAAUCGACAAUUGAAGCAUCUGAGGCUGCAUUAAUCGGGGAUACACGACAGAAGGAAUGGUUUUUAUCUAUAAACUUCACCUUCAACAAGCGUAGAUUUUUUCAAUAAUCUUUUUUUUUUUUUUUUCUAUCCCGAAUUGUCUUUCUUUCUUCUAAGACCCGAAAGGGUAAAUAAAAAACUAAUCAAAUCGCACCAUCUCUGUAAUAGGUAAAUGCCUCUUUUUCUCCUACAGUUUGUCGGAAUUAUUCGUAAUAAUAUAUUGGCUACAAUCGAAAAGGUCUUAUCAAUAAAAUUUCCGUUUAUCCGCGAUCUAGGCAUAGGUAAAAAUCCAUUCUAUAAUUCGUUUCAUUACCUCUUGUGAGAAAAUGAUCCCACAAACAAAGGAAUUGUACAGUACAAAAUAA
rnacentral:lncRNA from 1 species